UACGUAGGGGGCAAGCGUUGUCCGGAUUUAUUGGGCGUAAAGAGCGUGUAGGCGGUUUGGUAGGUCCGCUGUGAAAGUUCAGGGCUCAACCCUGAAAUGCCGGUGGAAACUGUCGGGCUAGAGUCCGGAAGAGGCGAGUGGAAUUCCUGGUGUAGCGGUGAAAUGCGCAGAUAUCAGGAGGAACACCAAUGGCGAAGGCAGCUCGCUGGGACGGUACUGACGCUGAGACGCGAAAGCGUGGGGAGCAAACAGG
rnacentral:rRNA from 1 species